UUACAGCUGCCUCCUGGGACCAGCCAGGAACUGCACAAGGAUGACCCUUCAACCAGUGGGCGGCUCAUUUUCUGCGUCCUGGGACCAGCCAGGAACGUCCACAAGGAUGACCCCUCGACCAAUGGGCGGCUAUUAGUAAAGAAGUCCAACGCUGAAGCGGAGAGGAAGCAACUGGCUUCGAAAAAGUCGGGCAGCAGGAGUGUUUCAAUGAGAGAUGCCGUUAAAAACGUGCACUAGUUUUGUUUAUGUUUUUGCCUAUUUCCUGUACACACUUAGAAAUGUCACAUUAGUAGACUUCGGUACCUUAUGUGUAUAUUUGUGAUCGAAAAAGAAGGUUUCUUCACAAAUGUGAAUGAGUUUUGUUUAUGCUUUUGCCUAGUGCUUGUAUAUACUUAGAUAUGUCCAAUGUAUAUUUUACUUCAGUGCCUUAUGUGUAUACCUGCGAUUAAAAACGAGGGUUCCUUUACU